GUAAUGCGUCUGUACCACAGACUGUAUACAAAAAUGGACGACAUGACAACACCCCAAAAGUGAAGCCAAAACAUCUGGAUCACCCCCUGGUGGCUGGCUGCAGUAUAGGUCAUAAACCCCGCCCCAUCCAUGUUAGCAGAUGGGACAAGGGC